CAUGACCCACACUCUUAUAUUUGUAUAAAAGUUUAUGCGCAAAAUUUAACGGAAAGAAAGACCAUACUAGUUUGGUGUCUCUUCUACUCUUCCUCUCUCCAGAUCAAUCCAAGCUCCUCUCUCUCACAUCUCUCUUUAGUUCACGGUGGUGGCUAUAUUCUGGUGUGGGCGUAUGUUCGGCGUGGAUCAGGUGACAACGUGGGUCAUGGGUAUGGCGGCGUGAGCUAGGUCGUGGGUUUGGCGGCGUGGACGUGGGUCGUGGCAAGGUCGUGCAUGGCGAGAUGGAUUGUGGCGAGGUGUGCAGUGGUGGAGAUGGGCGUAGUCAUGGACUCACAGCAUGGCGAGAUUGGGUGGGUCGUGGCAGAGGGACUUAAAAGUUCGUGGUGCUUGCUGAGGUUAUGAAUUUCUUCGGAUCACAGCUGACAGUUAUGUUGAUCACUACAAAUCCUUUGAGUUUCCCUGGAGUCGCUGGAAGUUGAUUUCUCUCAUCGUUAAAGUAUCAUUGCUUUGGAAACUGUAAGUUUCGGAAUUCUUAUUUUAGUAUCAAUCAUUAUAUUUCUUCAGGAAGAAAUUCUCUCUCACUGUUGUUGGGGAUUGCAGCUAGGCAUGUUGCAUGAACAGAUGGAUUAUCAUGUUCUUUUUAUUCCCAUUCAUACUGACAUAUCGAGAAAGAAACAAUGGGGAACUGAAAUCAUUUUGUAGCAGAUUAGAGCCUUUUGUAAUUGCAAUUUUGUUUUGAUCGAACU